rnacentral:misc_RNA from 1 species
GAUGAAGAACGCAGCGAAAUGCGAUACGUAAUGUGAAUUGCAGAAUUCAGUGAAUCAUCGAAUCUUUGAACGCAUAUUGCGCUCUUUGGUAUUCCGAAGAGCAUGCUUGUUUGAGUAUCAGUAAACACCUCAACCUCUUCUUGAUUUUUCAAAAGGAGGGUGGACUUGAGCUAUCCCAACAACCUUUACCGGUCGGCGGGCGGCUUGAAAUGCAGGUGCAGCUGGACUUUUAUCUGAGCUAAAAGCAUAUCUAUUUAGUCCUCGUCAAACAGGAUUAUUACUUUUGCUGCAGCUAACAUAAAGGAUAAUUGUCCUCUUUGCUGACUGAUGCAGGAUUUUACGACACUGUAUGUGUUGUUCAACUCGAUCUCAAAUCAAGUAAGACUACCCGCUGAACUUAAGCAUAUCAAUAAGCGGAGGA